CGGUGGAGACGCGUCCACCCACCGACAUGUUCUCCUCAUGCCCAUCUUUUCCCCCACGCCCUUCCUCUUCUUCGCCGCCUCAUCUUUCGCCUCUGCCCUGCUGCUUCCUUAUCCUGGAAGAACCAACCGAAGAACACACGCUGCUGCUGCAAUUACUAGGGUUCAAGCGGCGGUAGGCUGCUGGCGGUCGACGUCCAGCGCGCAGUGGGUCUUCCGGCCACGCACGUGGUCGGAGGGAGUUGGGUGGCGAACUGACGACGACGCCCUCUUCAAGGAGGUCGGACGGCCAGCGGGGAGCGGAAACGACGGAGACGCCGCGUCGUUGGUGGCCAGCGGAUAUGGGCGUCCGUGUGCACGGCGGCGGGCAGGAGGAUGUCAGCGUUCGUCGGCUCCACAGGCGGGAGGGCGACAAGGGAGAUGUGGGUGAGGCACGCGGAAAUCCUUCCGAUGGCUACGAGGAUGAGGGACGGGCGGCGCUCGGAGGAUACUCUGGCGGGGAGCAGGGUCAACGGCCGCCAUGACUUUGAUGGAUCGGCUUUGGGUCAACGGCCGCGGCGGAGUGGAGGACUAGCGGCGCUGGCGGCGGGAGGGGCCGUCGUAGCGGCGGUGUCCGAUUCGAAGGGCGCAUGAUGUAUGUUGCCUGGGUCUGCAUAGGAGAGGCCAACCGCUGCUCCAAAACGAUGACGGCGGCGGCGGACGCAGAGUCGCAGACAUGAAAACAAAGGUCCAGGCAACGGUCUGCUCGACCGCAUGCUCUGCGGAAGGUCAUUCCAGCAUUGCUUGGUUGCUUGCGUACAAAAGAUGACAAGAUUGAAACAAAAGUAGUACAUGAACACUUUUAUUUGGGGGCAGAAAGGUAUCUGGUCUCUUAUCGUAUCAUAAAAACAACAAUACUGUUAUUUUUUCAGCUUAUAUAACCUUUUUUAUUUGGGUUCUUGGAGUUCAUAGUUUCUGUAUUUGCCAAGGUCAUUUCUAAAUUAUGUGUUCGCCUGUAUUGCUGAAUCAAACAUAUGUCUGUUUUAUGUAUGAAUUUAUGUGUCAGUGAAGGAAUAUUUUUUUUCUAGCAGUUCAUUUUCACAUAUUUGAACAUGAGUUUGUGGUGCCUGCUAAUUGUUUGGUCAAAAAGUUAAUUGAGCACAAAGUUCUUGCUGGUGCCUGCCAAUUGUUUUAGACAUAAAUUAAUCUGUUCAUUUUUAAACCUUUUUUGGACAUAGUUGCAACACUGGUUUCCAGAUGCUGUAACAUAGCGUGCCUUCGGAUCUUUGUAGAAAAAAGGAUUGAUGUGGAUUUAGAUGGCUUUUAAUAUGUGGAUUAGAUGGGUACAGAGUCAUGAAGGUUCAAUACUGAUUUCUGAACUUACUGGUUUCUGAAACAUGUCAUUGUAAGGUAUUAGUAAAAUAGUGGGUUCCAUGCAGAGAAACAAACAUUAUUACUCUAAGGUGAGCACGCCAGGCAGCAUCCAGUUUGUUGGCGUGACGGUUUGCCAGUUUUCAGGUCAGAUCAGCAGCGCCAAUGGAGAUGAUACCUAGGGUGAUAUGCUGUAAGGUUCAGGAUGCAACAAGGUCAGUACGAAUGAUUUUUUCCCUCCUGCAUUGUUUCGGUGGGCUAAGAUAAUGAAAAUUUUCGGCCUUUACAGAACUUCCUUUGUUCAGUAAAAAUAUAUCUGAAUUGAGGAUCAUAUUGAUUCUUUCCUGCAGUUGGAGUAUUGUUUUUAUGCAUGACAUCCAUUUAAUGGAAUGCUUAAUGAUAUGCCUAGGUGUAAUUUUUCAUCAACUGAACUAUUUUGUAGCUUCAGUUCAGUUUGAUUUUCCCCUGCGUUCAAUAACUGUAUCUUCCUGGCCAUCAGGAGUAUGGUGCUUUUGUAAGGAUUUAGGAAUGUACUAAUUAGGCGUUUAUUUAUUGCGUCCACCUUUAGUCUUUGGGCUAUAGUUCAGGAAAGACAGUUCAUCCAUUAUUUUCCUCUGAGUAUUUUGUUUUUGGGCUAUAGUUCAGGAAAGACAGUUCAUCCAUUAUUUUCCUCUGAGUAUUUUGUUUUUACCUCGCUUCCAGGAAUCCUCCCAUUCGGCAGUAUGUUUUGUUUUAACAAUUCGAAUAUUUAUUGAUCUCUCUCGCCUGCUACAGUAUGUUGGUGUCUUAUUUUCAGUUAUCUUUCAGUUUCCAGCCAGUGCUUAGUUAGUUCUUCAAAUUAAGAGGUAAGGUAGUCUUACUGCUCAAUAUUUUGGUUCUUCUCCUUGGCUCAGUUGUGUUGUGCUUGCUUAGCUCACUAGAACAUACACACGCAGAAUUCUCCCUCUCUAAGAGGAUCAAAGUAGGCAUCAUUUGAUCAUACAAUACCAUUUUACACACAAUAUGAUAGCUAUAAUUCAGUUUUGGUCAUAAUUCACAUCUAUUUUAUUGCUCUUCGGCAGCUGCCGGAACGAUUGAGUGCCGAUAAUAACACAUGGGCAGGAAGUGUAUGAGUACAUAAUAACCACAUUAAUGAUGGACUUGUGUUCCUUCUCAAGAAUGAGCCAAUGAACAAGGAGGUUCAUCAUAAAGACUGAGUGUCCUGCCCAUGGCAUAUGUUACCAAAUUUGAAAUGUGCUGUAGAUCGGGCUUCUUCCAGACGGUUGAUUUUUUAUUUCCUUUUCUUUUGCUUGCGAAUUCCAUAAUAACUGGCACCUUCCCGGUAGGCUUCUAUUAUUGUAUCCGGUUGUCUCUGGCUGUCUAUGCCGUUCGUUUCUUUUCCUUAACCUUAGCUACGGGUCUCCCGAUUUUUUCCAUUUUGUUUCUUCUUGAAAAAUAUAAAUUAGGUAGCCCAGAAUUAGUUUACUCUCGAAUUCCGAGGAUAGGGAGAUAUGUCAUGUUAGACUGUUAGAGACCAAGGUUGUUACGAAAAGAAUAUAUACGAAGUUGUCGCUGUAGAUACACAAACUUUGUUUAUUGGUUGUACAUUUGCUAUGUAUCUAGGAGGAAAUCGGUCAGGCAGAAUUAGAGCCCGAACGGUAAAAAGUUUUGGGACAUCUUUUUGUUGAAUUUAAGGUCAAUAUGCAUUUUAAGUAAUUUUGUGUGAUUAUUUGGUACAUACAUCUAACUGUGAACUUUUGCUUCCUGACUCUAUUAUUGUUCGUGAUGAAUGAUGAAAUCUGAGAAGGAGCUCGGUUUCAUAUAGUUUCAGAUCAGGUUUUUAUGAUUUAUGCACGGUUCAAAAACAUAUUAUUCUUAUCACUGAAAUUGUAUCCAAGUUUGCAUUACUGACUGCUCCAAAAUGUAGAAUAAGCAGUUGUCACAAGGAGGCUGGGAGGUAGUGCCUACCGAUUCCAGAUUUCCAGAUGUGGAUUGCUAUCCUAUUCUCAUCUAAUUAUGUAUCCCCUCUUAUAAAGUAGCUGUCUGAUUCGUAGAGAUGAAAAGAAAAUCAUGCUUUACAGAAUAGCCCUUCCCUCAGGCUAUGUGAAAUGGUCAUACAAGUAAGUACCCGAUGUGAGUUUCUGGGUCUCAAGAUAGCUUAUUAUAGUAUCAUCGUCGGCGAGUCUUCUGAUGUGAAUCCACUUCUAACUUAGGUAUUCUAGCUCUUAUUUCCCAUAUUUUUGUUUCUCAGCUUGACGUUACCAGUGUGUACCUGGAACAAGUGAGCCAAGAGCACGAGACUCACAACUAUGAAACUGUGUGUGUGUGUGUGUUAUGCUGACUGUAUGGAUACAGGUGCACGGUAGUGAAUUGCAUCAUGAUCUGGAUUGUCCUACAUGACAUGGAAACCAGUGGGCUGUGGAUGAGAUAUCUCAUGUUAGACCGUGCAAGGUCACUAUAUAGAGUAUGUAUAUAUGUCAGGUCUUAGUUUAGAGAGUUGGUAUAUGCAAGGUAUUCUGCAAGGUAGGUUGUCGGUUUAGUAGUUGCUUGCAUAUGUAUACAUCGACUAUGAAAAUCUGUUACCAUCGUUGAUUGUUGUAAGCAUGGAGUUUUGGUGCUAUUUUCAUCAAAUUUCAGACUAAAAUGACUAAUGUGGCCUCAUAAUAAUAUGCUAUUUGUGUGAAGGUUUCAGACGUGCAGUACAUGAUUUUCCUAAAGAAGCUCCUAUUGCCUUCUUCCAUAACUCUAUCCUCAAGUCUUCAGAGGUCAGUACGAUUGGUAAGUGAAAUUACCUUGGGUCCAUAGAGUUGACGAUGAAGUGCAGACUAGCCACCAUUUGGGCAUCUUGUGUCAAGUCUGUGCUAUCACUCUAACCAGCCGUGACUUCCAUCAAUUUCCGCUUGCCUCCUCUGCUUUGCUUUCCUUCUAUCGACACGCUUCUCCCUUGGCGUCCCUCCCUUUGCUCCUGCUCAUCGACCAUCUCAGGCUGGCCUGUAGCGCCCCCCGGGAUCCCUUUUUCUAGCUAAUUUUGGAUUCUCGACCAUAUUGACAGCAGGAAAUCUCCAGCGAUCUGAAGGCUUACCCAAUAGCCCAGAACUAGACCAAGGAUUCUUACAAGAGAAUAUGGGUUUGUUGCAGCGCAUUGUGAGAGUGGAAGAAACAGGAGAAGGUAGAUGCCGAGAAAAGACCAACCUGGUCUUGACGAAGUUGAGGAUAAAUUCAUUGAGGCAAACCCCUACCACGUGUAACACCACACAUGCACACAGCCACAUGUCCACCGAUUGCUCCGAUAUUGCUCCACAUAGCAAAGAGGAAAGGAGAGCUCCAUGCGCAUCCCCGCCCUCCCUAUGCCACCAACCGAGUUUCCUUUCGUCUAACGAGGAGAGCGGCAAACGACAACCUACCACGCCCCAAGGACUAAGAACCGACAAAAACGUAUAUUCAUUCUUUCCUCUAGCAUAUGUCGACAAAAAAAAUGUUUUGUGCAAACUAACUAUUGUUAUGUCCUGCUCAUAUCAGCUUACUCCAUAAAUUUUGUAAUUGAACCCUGUACUACUAAUAUCAGUUCACAGGCACGACGUGCUGAACUCGA